UUCCCAUCCUCUGUCGUGAAAGGGGUCGAGUGAUAGCGGGAGUUCGAUUCUUACCCAGUUCAAUUCUGACCCACGGCAGUUGCUUGAUUGUCACCAGGAUGAAUAUGGAAACGCGUCAUGCUACUGAAGGGGUGAAGGAGCUAAUCCCUAAUCCUUACUUUUAUUGACUUUCCUUCACUCACCUGCAGCUCCUCGUCCCAACCAGGAAGAAGAGGGAGAUGAUUAAAAGAAAAAAGAGGAGGAGGAAGAAGAUAAGAGGAAAAAGAGAACCCAAAAUUAAGAUAAGAUGAUGAUGAACAACAAGGGAAGAAUGCGUGAGAUUGUGUCACACAUAUGGAUAUUGUCUGACCCCAGUAUGGUAUUUGUGGAUUGCCUGAUGCAGGGAGGGAGUGAAGUGAGAGUGGCAGGCUCAAGUGUAUAGAUGGAAGCGGUAGAAGAAAGAAUAAAGGAGAAACAAAACAGGGAGAUGAAGAAAAAAAGAGAAAGGGAAAUGAAAAAAGAGGAGGAAGAGCCAAGCCGCAAUAUUUAGGCCGUCACUACCCUGCCUCCAACCACCGCCCCACUCCAGCUGCCUAUCAGUCACCACGUUGGUAUGGUAGACAGGGCCCUAAGCUGUCUAGUGGCCUGCUGAAUGCUGAGUAUGUGGUAAUGUUUGAGAAAAGAGAAAACGCCAGUCGUGCAUAGCAGAUCAAUGGAGGAAGAAGAAAUGGAGACGGAACAGAAAAUUAAGAGAAAGAAAAAAAGAAAAGAUAAAGAAGAGUCACCUGUUACAAA